GAGCAGAAAAAAUUGUAACAAGCUGCCUGUCCGCGAAGAAUUCAUAUCCAUCCUCAACAACCUGAUGGGCACGACAGACAAGAUCCAUAUCGUUAUUCAUUAAGAAUUCUGACACUUUAUCUGACCCAAAGGUGUAUGAGACCCCUCGAUCGUUCAUUCCCCAGCCUUUAACAUCCCUACUAGGAUCAGACCAAAGUAAAUCACAAAGCAACCCAGAAUCUGGAACAUCAGUUGGACGGGGUAAGUUUCUAAUUUGAUCCAAACUUGUUAAAUCAGGGGAUAGCCCUCCGUGCAUACACAAUAUUUUGUCGUCUAUAAGAGCAGCAACAGGAAGACAGUUGAAACAUUCAGUAAAGUUUCUCCAAAGUUUCACAUUGAACCGACGUUUACAUUCAUCAUAAAAUCCAUAAAUUCGAUUAAUAGAUGCAGACUCAUGAUUUCCUCUUAAAAGAAAGAAGUUCUCAGGGUACUUGAUUUUGUAGGCAAGCAAAAGGCAUAUUGUUUCCAAACUCUGCUUGCCACGGUCUACGUAAUCGCCCAGGAAUAAAUAAUUAGCACUAGGAGGAAAACCCCCAUAUUCAAAAAGCCUCAAAAGAUCAGAAUAUUGCCCAUGAAUGUCACCUGGAAAUCCAAAGAAAAAUAACCAUAAAGGUUAAGGAAAACACCACUUGAAGGACAAGAAUAAAAAAUAAUAAUAAUAACAGAAUUCUCUUCAUAUAUGCAAAAGGUGAGAUUAAAAGGGCAUUGCAGCUAAAGAGUCAAGCCAUGCAUAAUUAUUAUGAUUAGUCUAAAUUACACCUGACGCUAAAUAGUUGCUCAAUUUAGGUGAAGUUGUAACAGCAAUACAAAGUCACAGCUAAUGCAUGAAGCAGCAAUAUUCUAAAAAUGCACUGGAAAAUCUACUUUUAAGCCACGAAAUCAGGGAUGGUUUGCAAAUUAAACAUCAAUGAUUUCCUGAUAUUUCCUUCCUCACACCUGCACUGCAAUGGUGGUUCCACCCAAACCCAAAGGGUAAAUGUUUUGACAAUUUAGACGGUAGCAUAAUUCUAGACUUGAUUCUUUGACAAUUUUAAAGUAUGUUGUCGAUCCCACCACAUAUAUUGUUCUAAUGUAGUCUGAAAGCCAACAACCUACGCUAAUAAGAGUGAGCGAAUGUGAAAUUUGAUAAGGCUUUUCAAGAAUUUGUACGAGUCAAUUCUCUCAGCACAUAUCCCAUAUAUUUUAUGCCAUGCCUCCUGCUUCUGUCUUCAUUCUAUUGCUAUGAUAGACACCAAUUUCCACAAAACAAGCUUUAACCACAUAAUUGACAUGAUAAAUUGACAGAACUGAGAUCAUCAGGAACCAGAAUCACAUUACCAAAACAAAGGAAAACCUCAAGGUAGCUGCAGUAGCACAAGCCAGUCAACAAUAAAUAUUUGUCCAUAAGGGAACCCAGCUCACUUAAAAAAUUUUGAACCACCGCUUACAGUUUCAACACUUCAAAAUCACCUCAUACAACCAGCAAGAUAUCUUAACUUGAACUGAAAAUUGCUAAUAGUACUACAUACAAGUGACCAGCCCAAAUGUGAGAUUGAUCUAAAGAAUAAAUUAUGAUGGAUAGCAAGAACAAAACUUUCAAGCAAAGAAAUAGGCAUAAUAUAUUUGGGAGAUUAUAGCAAAAUCUAAUUGGGAAGGAAUAAAAAAACAACUGUCUACUAAAAAAUAAAGACAUGCUAAUCAUAUUAACAAUACACAUUAGCUAGUUUGACAAACUUGUUACACAACAACCCAGAUCACAGGAACAGUAAACAGUUGAACCACAGCUAGUUCAUAUUCAUCAUGCCAUCAUUUAUACAGAAAUUUAAUAAAACACACUGAAAACAGCAAAUGCUUUGAUAAAUAAGUAAAGGAAAGAGUUAAAUACUGAUACAGAAAAACAUUCUCAAAGAUAGUACCAUCUUUAAUGUCUCUCAUGUCUCUCACCUCAUGCAUAUGAAGGCUCUCCUAAGCAGAUCGUUAAGUGGCAUUGAAUAGAGAUUCUCUAUCCCUAUUCUAUUCAAUGCUUGUUUCCGUCUCCACCCAAUUCGAUUCUUUAUAUAAUUUUCUCUACAUCAUUGGCCUUUGAGACUUAGUAAUCAAUAAAUUAACACCCUGAAACAUAGAAAAAGCCAUUACUCGGUUAUGGUCCCAUCCGAGGAGGGCUAUGAACAGAACUCCAGUUGAAUUCUUACCCUUGGCAUUUUUGCAUUAAUCAGCUGUUCUCAUGCUUAAAACCAACAGCUUGUCAGUUGCAGUCCGAGACUCUUAUAAUUGCAUUAGUCAAGAUUUUAACACCCAUAGGAUCUAAUGACCAGUACUUGACCCAUUUAAUUGCCAUUGUGCAUACAAAGUUUUGGAUUUCCCUUGAACACAUAUAAUAUUACCCUCAAUAAUUGCUAUAAUUGACCACAAAAAUAUAUAUAAUGCCAAUGACCUCUCCAUUAAUCACACCAUGGAUCCCUAGCUUCUCGAAUCGAAAACUAAUCAUCUUCCAAUCCCAAAAACUCAAAUUUUCGCGAAAUAGCAAACUCCAACUUGAGGCAGCAAUGAGAAAGGCGUCACUUUUUAUCUAUAUGCAAUAACACUACUCCAUCUAAUCUCUCCCAAACAAGAAAUAGAGAAGUGAAAAGGGAAAAAUAAGCAAGUACCACAGAUCUUGAUGGGGGCCUCCAGCUCGAGAAGAUUGGGCUGUUGAAGAAAGAUUUGUCCAGAUACAGAACAGAGUUGGCGGAUCUCAAUCUCAGUUAGCUGAACCUGCUGCUGUUUGGCUGCUCUUGUUUGCCUAAAAUCCAAUAAACGACUGAUAAUAUCGUCCAAGAUCGCAGAGUCGAUGGAGGGGUGGGCUUGGUGAGCCAUUGAAAGCGAUCUCAAUCUAUCUUAGAAAUUGAAGAAAUGACAGGAAGAACACAGGAUGUGGGUUUCCUCGAGUAUACUUUUUUCUUGAUUUUGAAUUGAGUUGGUGGUGGAGUGAAAGAGUGGAGGAGAGAAUGUGAGGGUGGUUUCUGUCUGUAUUUUUUGGCUUUGAGUGGCAUUAAAAUAAAGAUAAAAAAAAUAUGGUAAUUUCAAAGUCUGAUGUGGCGGAGAAGCCUAUAUCUAUGAAUCUAUUCCUAUUCGACGGAGUCGACUAAAGCCUAAUCUUGCACACCUCGCAGGACCGACGGACAGUUGCAAAUUUACUCUGAAA
rnacentral:misc_RNA from 1 species